UACAGAGGGGGCAAGCGUUGUUCGGAAUUACUGGGCGUAAAGGGCGCGUAGGCGGCCCGCUAAGUCGAACGUGAAAUCCCCGAGCUCAACUCGGGAACUGCGUCCGAUACUGGCGGGCUUGAAUCCGGGAGAGGGAUGUGGAAUUCCAGGUGUAGCGGUGAAAUGCGUAGAUAUCUGGAGGAACACCGGUGGCGAAGGCGGCGAGCUGGCCCGUUUCUGACGCUGAGGCGCGACAGCGUGGGGAGCAAACAGG
rnacentral:rRNA from 1 species